AGUGAACGCUGGCGGUAGGCCUAACACAUGCAAGUCGAACGGCAGCACAGUAAGAGCUUGCUCUUACGGGUGGCGAGUGGCGGACGGGUGAGGAAUACAUCGGAAUCUACUUUUUCGUGGGGGAUAACGUAGGGAAACUUACGCUAAUACCGCAUACGACCUACGGGUGAAAGCAGGGGAUCUUCUGACCUUGCGCGAGUGCAUGAGCGGAUGUCGGAUUAGCUAGUUGGCGGGGCAAAGGCCCACCAAGGCGACGCUCCGUAGCUGGUCUGAGAGGAUGGUCAGCCACCCUGGAACUGAGACACGGUCCAGACCCCUACGGGAGGCAGCGGUGGGGAAUAUUGGACAAUGGGCGCAAGCCUGAUCCAGCCCUACCGCGUGGGUGAAGAAGGCCUUCGGGUUUUAAAGCCCUUUUGUUGGGAAAGAAAAGCAGCAGGUUAAUCCCCCGCUGUUCUGACGGUACCCAAAGAAUAAGCACCGGCUAACUUCGUG
rnacentral:rRNA from 1 species